UCACCCGCCGGGCCCGGCCGCCGAUCAUCCCCGAGUUGGGCGUCAGGGUGGUGAAUGUCACCGGUGAUCCCGAAGUCAACCCGGCCCUGGUCGCCGGGCCCGUCAAGGAACAGGCCGAGGUCUCUACAGCAAACCCAUAGCCGGCCGGAUAUGAGUCAACCCUGUAAAUAAAUAGACACACAAAAAUGGAGGCGGCACCCGCCACAGAAUCCUACCAUUUAUCUCCCCCCGAUCCCCAUCUCGGUCAGCUAAUCAGCGGCGGCGCCGCUGCCGGAGGGGACGACGGCGGAGAGAGGCAGCCCGCCU
rnacentral:lncRNA from 1 species